AUGCUGAAAAUACUUUACGAGUCUGUAUACAUAUUGCAAGUCAACAGCAUUCAGCUCAUUUUUACUGGCACCACAUGGAGUUUAUGUUUAGCGAUAUUCCUUGCACACAUGCAUAAAUUUGUUUCAAGUCUGACAGUAGCAGCUGGAGCGCCAAAGUCAUUCGCAGCGAGCCCCUGCCACCCGCCACCGUUGCCUGGAAAAUUGCCGCCUAUGUUCUCCUGUGGUGCUGCUGAUGCUCCUGCUCUAUGUGAAAAGACGUGCUUCUGGCUUUGGCAUGCUGUGAAAAAUACUAUUAUGCACCCAAUGAAUGGGUACUGUUGGUUUGCUAUCCAAAUUUUGACAAUAUCAAGACUGGCCAAAAUUGGCACCUUUUUGUGA
rnacentral:rRNA from 1 species